AUUGAACGCUGGCGGCAGGCCUAACACAUGCAAGUCGAACGAGUGGCGGACUGGUGAGUAAUGGCUGGGAAACUGCCCGAUGGAGGGGGAUCACUACUGGAAACGGUGGCUAAUACCGCAUACCAUCGGAUGUGCCCAGAGGGGAUUAGCUAGUCGGGGGGGUAUCGGGUCACCAAGGCGACGAUCCCUAGCUGGUCUGAGAGGCUGACCAGCCACACUGGAACUGAGACACGGUCCAGACUCCUACGGGAGGCAGCAGUGGGGAAUAGUGCACAAUGGACGAAAGCCUGAUGCAGCAAUGCCGCGUGAGUGAAGAAGGCUUUCGGGUUGUAAAGUACUUUCAGCGAGGAGGCGUUACUCGCAGAAGAAGCACCGGCUAACUCCGUGCCAGCAGCCGCGGUAAUUC
rnacentral:rRNA from 1 species